AAUUGAGGGGGGCUGCUCCUAGUACGAGAGGACCGGAGUGGACGCAUCACUGGUGUUCGGGUUGUCAUGCCAAUGGCACUGCCCGGUAGCUAAAUGCGGAAAAGAUAAGUGCUGAAAGCAUCUAAGUACGAAACUUGCCCCGAGAUGAGUUCUCCCUGAGACUUUGAGUCUCCUGAAGGAACGUUAAAGACGAUGACGUUGAUAGGCCGGGUGUGUAAGCGCAGCGAUGCGUUGAGCUAACCGGUACUAAUGAACCGUGAGGCUUAACCUUACAACGCCGAAGCUGUU
rnacentral:rRNA from 1 species